AACGAACGCUGGCGGCAUGCCUAACACAUGCAAGUCGAACGAGACCUUCGGGCCUAUUGGCGCACGUGUGCUUAACGCGUGGGAACCUGCCCUUAGGUUCGGAAUAACUCCCCGAAGGAUGUGUUAAUACCGGAUAAUGUCUUCGGACCAAAGAUUUAUCGCCUUUGGAUGGGCUCUCGUUGGAUUGGUUAGUUGGUAGGGUAAAAGCAGACCAAGGCGACGAUCCAUGGCUGGUCUGAGAGGAUGCUCAGCCACAAUGGGAAUGAGACACGGCCCAGAAUCCUACGGGAGGGAGCAGUGGGGAAUAUUGGACGCUGGGCGAAAGCGUGAUAAAGCAAUGCCGCGUGAGUGAUGAAGGCCUUAGGGUUGUAAAGCCCUUUUACCCGGGAUGAUAAUGACAGUAACGGGAGAAUAAGCGCCGGCUAACUACGUG
rnacentral:rRNA from 1 species